rnacentral:rRNA from 1 species
AACGUAGGAGACAAACGUUAUCCGGAUUUACUGGGCGUAAAGAGCGCGCAGGCGGCUGGUCAAGUCCGAUGUGAAAUCUCCCGGCUUAACUGGGAAACUGCAUCGGAAACUGAUCGGCUUGAAGGUGGGAGAGGGUAGUGGAAUUCCCGGUGUAGUGGUGAAAUGCGUAGAUAUCGGGAGGAACACCAGUGGCGAAGGCGACUACCUGGCCUGUUCUUGACGCUGAGGCGCGAAAGCUAGGGGAGCAAACGGG